rnacentral:tRNA from 1 species
UUACUGAAAGCUGAGUUUUCAGCAUUAGCCUUUUGAGCUAAAAGUGGGUGUAAUUGCCCUUAGUAAA